rnacentral:rRNA from 1 species
UACGAACUGUGCGAACGUUAUUCGGAAUCACUGGGCUUACAGGGUGCGUAGGCGGCCUUUCAAGUCAGGUGUGAAAUCCCACAGCCCAACUGUGGAACGGCGCUUGAAACUGUUUGGCUAGAGUCAGCUAGAGGUCGGCGGAACUUCCGGUGGAGCGGUGAAAUGUGUUGAUAUCGGAAGGAACACCAGAGGCGAAAGCGGCCGACUGGAGCUGUUCUGACGCUGAGGCACGAAAGCCAGGGGAGCGAACGGG